rnacentral:rRNA from 1 species
UGGGGAAUUUUGGACAAUGGGCGCAAGCCUGAUCCAGCCAUGCCGCGUGAGUGAAGAAGGCCUUCGGGUUGUAAAGCUCUUUCGGCCGGGAAGAAAUCGUGUUCUCUAACAUAGGACAUGGAUGACGGUACCGGACUAAGAAGCACCGGCUAACUACGUGCCAGCAGCCGCGGCAAUACGUAGGGUGCGAGCGUUAAUCGGAAUUACUGGGCGUAAAGCGUGCGCAGGCGGUUUUGUAAGACAGAUGUGAAAUCCCCGGGCUUAACCUGGGAACUGCGUUUGUGACUGCAAGGCUGGAGUACGGCAGAGGGGGGUGGAAUUCCACGUGUAGCAGUGAAAUGCGUAGAGAUGUGGAGGAACACCGAUGGCGAAGGCAGCCCCCUGGGCCUGUACUGACGCUCAUGCACGAAAGCGUGGGGAGCAAACA